GACGAACGCUGACGGCGUGCCUAAUACAUGCAAGUUGAGCGCUGAAGGUUGGUACUUGUACCGACUGGAUGAGCAGCGAACGGGUGAGUAACGCGUGGGGAAUCUGCCUUUGAGCGGGGGACAACAUUUGGAAACGAAUGCUAAUACCGCAUAAAAACUUUAAACACAAGUUUUAAGUUUGAAAGAUGCAAUUGCAUCACUCAAAGAUGAUCCCGCGUUGUAUUAGCUAGUUGGUGAGGUAAAGGCUCACCAAGGCGAUGAUACAUAGCCGACCUGAGAGGGUGAUCGGCCACAUUGGGACUGAGACACGGCCCAAACUCCUACGGGAGGCAGCAGUAGGGAAUCUUCGGCAAUGGACGAAAGUCUGACCGAGCAACGCCGCGUGAGUGAAGAAGGUUUUCGGAUCGUAAAACUCUGUUGGUAGAGAAGAACGUUGGCGAGAGUGGAAAGCUCAUCAAGUGACGGUAACUACCCAGAAAGGGACGGCUAACUACGUG
rnacentral:rRNA from 1 species